rnacentral:rRNA from 1 species
CCUACGGGUGGCAGCAGUGAGGAAUAUUGGUCAAUGGAGGAGACUCUGAACCAGCCAAGUAGCGUGAAGGAUGACUGCCCUAUGGGUUGUAAACUUCUUUUAUAUGGGAAUAAAAUGUUCCACGUGUGGGAUAUUGUAUGUACCAUAUGAAUAAGGAUCGGCUAACUCCGUGCCAGCAGCCGCGGUAAUACGGAGGAUCCGAGCGUUAUCCGGAUUUAUUGGGUUUAAGGGGAGCGUAGGCGGAUCGUUAAGCCAGUGGUCAAAUUGGGGGGCACAACCCCUUCCCGCCAUUGAAACUGGGGCUCUUGAGUGGAAGAGAAGUAUGCGGAAUGCGUGGUGUAGCGGUGAAAUGCGUAGAUAUCACGCAGAACCCCGAUUGCGAAGGCAGCAUGCCGGCUUCCGACUGACGCUGAAGCACGAAAGCGUGGGGAUCGAACAGGAUUAGAUACCCGAGUAGUC